rnacentral:tRNA from 1 species
GCCAGCGUAGCUUAUAUACAAAGCACAGCACUGAAGAUACUGAGAUGGGUAAUAAUAACCCCGCAAGCA